CUUAUAGACUUUAAUACAGUAUAUAUUUUCAAAAUAUAAACUUUUAUAUUUCUGUGGUAAGUUAGGAUAUGCGUUUUAGGCAAUCUUUUCCAUAAUAUCACUUGUUCUUUCAAAAAACUAGCAUACAGGUUUGGUGCCAAUGUUUUUGUUUUGUUCUUUAUGUUUUUAAAAUCUACUGCUCUUAUACUGUUAGAGAGCAGGUUCAUUUUCUUUUUCUAGAAGUAACUAAGUUUGAAGUAUCAUUUGAAAAUGUAUUGAAUUUUUGAGUAAGCCUUACCAUUAGGAUCAUAAACUUUCCAACCUUUGCAACUACGUGUGUAGUUUAAGAUCUCCCCAUAAAUUCUCACAGUGUGGCAGUUGAUGGAGUUUGUGGACAGAGCCUUAAGAUUGCUGCAAAAAUAAUAAUAAAAGGGUAAUACGGGUUGUUUCCUCCAUGUUGACAGGCUCAAUGUAGUCUGUCGGUCAGAGUUUGGUUAAGUUGAUGGUGGCAGGGACCAGAUAGAUACUUUGGAGAUUGUCUUUGGCCAUAAGGUUGGCCCAAAGACAGAUUUUCUGGAGCCACUUUCAUACUGUUCACUUGGUUUAGACAUGGUCAUGGGGAGGGCUGCUGGUUCAUCAUUUGUUCUGAACAAAUGGCACUUCCUGCUCCUGACCCUGGUGAUGGAUCCCAGGGCUCCUUGUGGAUGACCUGAGAAGUCCAGUCUGGUUGAGGUCAGAGCUCCUUGAGAGAUGUUAACAAAGUUUAUGUAUGAGUCUUACUGUGUAGACAAUCUGAAGUUGGUUUUACAUAAUCAGCAUUCCCAUGUGUCCUCAGUGUCCCCUUGGUGAACUCUGUGUGUCAAGCCAUACUAACCUGGAGUUUAACAGGACAAAAGCAGUUGGAAUGCUGAACCCGCUCAUCAGCUGAGUCUGUCUAUCUGGGGCUAUCUCAGUGGAGAAAAGGCAGGCAUAGAGAUGAUCAACAGUGAGGUUAUUGUGUUUGGGAAUCUAAUAAAACCAGCUAGAAUUUGGCCUUAGGUUUUAAAAAAAUUACAACUCCUUUGGUUGGCCACAAUGGAGUAGUUACCAACUGAUCUUCCUUACCAAUGCCUUUGAUCUAAGAUCUCGAGUGCCUGGUUACAGUAUGGCUGAAGUCAUUUGGUCCAUCUUUAAUAAGUGUCCAUAAGGUCAUCUUAUCAACCACUGGGAUGGAAAUUUGUGAAUUUGAUUCCCAUUUUUGUAUUGCGUGUGGCAAGUCAGGAAAGCCAGUGUCUGGUGUUAGGGCUCAGCUCUGACGUCUCUGUAGGGUGACCUCACUUCACUGGCCCAACAUCUGGCCUCAUGCCAGAGCUCAUUCAUUUGGCUCUGGGAAGGUCAGAAGGUAUAGAGUUUUCUAUCUAGUAUUUAAUUUGUCCCUGUGCCAUUAGUCUCAGCUUGAAGUCAUUUGCCAAGGUCUAUGUUGACAGGAUUGUGAAAAUAUUGCCUUUCAUAAAACCAAGGACCAAAGAAUUCCAUUAUUCCAACAAAGCGUGAGUUUCAUAGAUUUUAGGGGCGUCCAGAUGGAGAAGUUCGAGCUUGAAAUCACUCAGCACCCCCAACCUCAUGCUCCCUCGGCUGGCCAGACACAGGGACUCGUUGUCACAUUGAGAAGGCUCUGAAAGAGGAGUUUCUAAGGCUGAAACUUACUGUCUCAGGUGGUGUUUCUGCUGUAUAGUCCUAAGCUUUUUAUUCAUAUCAUAUAAAGUGGGAACCUGGCAUUUCUCUGGGUUUAUCUGACCAGUGUAGAUGCCUCCUUUUGCACAUGAGUCUUUGAUACGAGUUUUGCAACUGUGUCUGCGCUGAGCAGUGGGAUCCUCUGACUGCCAGAUUUCCACCUCUUUAGUUCUACAUCAACCCAUUCCAAUUCCAGUUUGGCAGGGAGUAGGGGAGAAUUUUCCUCAAUUCUCACACCAGGUGAUGCUCCAUUCUCAUUCAUGGUGAAAUCAUUGAUCCAUUAACCAGUUGAGAAAUGAUGGAUGUUGACAAAGUGCUAUUCUAUUGGUAAGGCUUAUUACCAAACUUCUUAUAAUGAAGCAGGCUACCAAAAACUUACCCAGCCCACCCCAAGAGUGUUCGGGUUGGUUCAUGGGUGUAGCAUACACACCAAAAUCCACGGAGACCUUUGCAAAUUAGGCUACUCGUUUUAUUUUGCCAGAUUAUCAUGGGAGAGUCUUUAACUAGUUCUGAACAUUUGUAAGUAUGAGUACUUCAUAGAGAUAUAAAGCAGGUACAGCAGACCCAUCCUCACCAUGUUGUAAAUAUUUCCUGAAACUGGGUGCAGUCCUGAGGGAUAAUAAUCUUCUGAUUUAUCAAAUGCUGACUGUCUAGAGCAAAGUGUACACUCUCUUUGUGAAUGGUCCUGUAACGUGUAUGAACACAUUUCUGGGUGCCUUAGAAGUUGUAUUUUUCAUGUGUGCUAAUAUGCAGUAUUUAUACAUUGUGAGAAGCUGCUUUGAAUAAAAAGGUUGAAACUUUG
ensembl:lncRNA